CAGUUUAAGGAUGAUAGAUAAAAUUGAGAACAGUACAAAGUUGGAUUCAAGAGCCUAUUUUUUUGUAUAGAAGAAGAAGAACCUAUUUCAUACUACAUAGCACGGUACAAAAACGAAUUAAUUCUUCGAAGCUUAAGAUCUGUAUCAAAAGAUCAGAGAGUUACCGGGAUCCCUGCGGUUCUGCACCGCCUCCACAAUCGAUAUGUAAGAGUAUCAGGAGAGGAUUAUUCUGCCGCCAAUAGGGAUACAAAGUAUUACAAAGAGUGGUGAUCUUAUCAGGAAAUCAAUGAAAGGAUGAGACAGGAGAAGUGGGAUUCAGUCGAAGGGCCAUGACUAUUUCACACGGUUCAAUCGGACGACGCCUAGUAGCAUGCAACUGCCAUACUCUCCUGGACACGGAGGCCGAUCACUAUACGGAGGAGUCCACGGUCCCAAAUUAACCAACCAAACGAAAGGCCGAUAUCUAUGGGUGGACCGUGGACGAAGGGAACCGAGAGCCGGCCGAAUCCCCGAACCUCUCUGCAGCUGCUUUGGGUCCAGGCCUCCAGGGCUCCAGGCCUCCAGGGAGAAGAACUCUUUGCUUCCGUCCUCGCGCCGCGUGCGUGCGAAGCGCCACCUCAAGAACCGCAGCCGUGGUGAUGAUACCUGCCGCAUAUGUGUUGCACAGGAAAAGCAGGAUAACAGUACUGAAAAUCUGAAAUAUGGUGUAGAAAGAAAUGCAACUCUGAACGAAUACAGCGAUGUUUGCUCUACACUAUCAGGUUAACUUGCAGACGACACGAUGAUCCUCAAGCACAACAUUAGGUGGGAUACUGGGAUUUAUGGCGAUUGCCUUCGUGAUCUAAUUUCUCUUUGACUGAAUCAACCUGGUUUCCAGCAAGACGCUUAGGCGAUGGCCGAACUCACUCCUGUCGGCUACGUAUAUAACAGGCACCCAGUUCAGUUCACCCAAUCGAUCAAUCAUUCAAGUUUAUUCCUCUUGUUGCUAAGUGCUGCUGCUGACUCAUGUCCAAGUUCAGACUAAUAAAGUCAUGUUUUAUCAACUGUCAGAACAGUCAGGUUAACUUACAGGCAAGAUAAUGCUUGUCAAGCCAUGUCCAAUCCGAGAGGCUGAAAGUUCCACAGACCCAUGAUGAAGCACAGAAGCAGGUGGAGAUGUGGAAUUCAAAGCCAGCGCCCCUACAUGAUCUCACAUGGCGAUGGCCGAACUCCCUGUCGGGUUGGCAUUCACGAGCUCUUAACUGCUCCCUCCGUUCCGUAAACUUGAACUAAAACAACGGCAAGAAUUAUGGGCCGGAGGGAGUAAUUUCCAGCAUGAUGCUGAGACCAUCCUAGUGACCUCUACAAGAUAUCUUUGCCUUCUUAGUAAUUAUGGGCCGGAGGGAGUAAUUUCACAUGGCGAUGGCCCAACUCACUCCUGUCGGCUGUCAGAUUGAGGUCUGUACUCUGUAUAUAGCAGGGACCGAGUUCACUUAACCCAAUCGACCAAGCCUAUUCCUCUCGACGGGCGAUGGCGUCCAUGGUGUUCAUCACCUUGGCCACUGUCCUUGUUCUCACCCAUGGCUAUGAGCACGUCUCAGACCCACCCCUGACGAGCCAGAUGGUACCAAUUAACAUUUUUAGUCUCAGCCAUGGCCCUGAGCAUGUCCCGCUCCCACGACCAGACCCAAAGGAUGUUGAGGCCAGCAUGGCAGUGGCUGGACAUGGUGAUGCAGCCCCCGGCGUCACCGAAGAGAAGGGAUGGUUCGCUGGACGUCAGUUGGCGAAUCCGACCCCUCUUCCUCCUUGCAGUUCAUUCACAAGGCGCUGCUGAAGGCGCCUUGAAAGCCUUUUGACAGUGAGAUGGUAGUUUCAACCGAGAGAGGAUGUCCAUGUCCUCUCCUCUGUCCUCAAGCUGCAAGCUCUCCUCUGUCCUCUUAAGAAAUUAUCAGCCAUCUCUUAUUAUUAACAUUUUUUUGACUGAAUCUCUUAUUAUUAACAUGGUACCUGGUUGUGUUGUCAGCAUGUAUGCCUUGAAAACGUCAAUGAACCUGUGAAAGAGGUGGCUAUAUAUA